AUACGUAGGGGGCGAGCGUUGUCCGGAAUGAUUGGGCGUAAAGGGCGCGUAGGCGGCGCGGUAAGUCUGGAGUGAAAGUCCUGCUUUCAAGGUGGGAAUUGCUUUGGAUACUGCCGCGCUUGAGUGCAGGAGAGGUUAUCGGAAUUCCCGGUGUAGCGGUGAAAUGCGUAGAGAUCGGGAGGAACACCAGUGGCGAAGGCGGGUAACUGGACUGCAACUGACGCUGAGGCGCGAAAGGGUGGGGAGCAAACAGGAUUAGAUACCCUGGUAGUCCACACUGUAAACGAUGAAUGCUAGGUGUAAGAGGUAUCGACCCCUUUUGUGCCGGAGUCAACACAAUAAGCAUUCCGCCUGGGGAGUACGGCCGCAAGGUUGAAACUCAAAUGAAUUGACGGGG
rnacentral:rRNA from 1 species